AGAUCACCCAUGGCCAACCCCAGUUCAGCUCCUGGCCUGGUGCCUUGACAGACGCACAGGAACGGGUGUGAGCAGGCCCCGCAUCCUGACAGGAUAGAAAAAUGGAAGAAACAAGGAUUGCUUCACCAUAUCACGGUCAGAAGCAAACCAUUGUGUCUAUUCAAGAAGUUCAUGUGUCAGCAAGAACUCACACGACGAACUUCUGUGCAGUGUCCAUGCCCGGGAACAGAUGAAAAGGAUUGACGAUCAGCAGCAGAAAUAGGAGCCAACAUCAAAG